UACAGAGGGUGCGAGCGUUGUUCGGAAUUAUUGGGCGUAAAGGGCGCGUAGGCGGUGCGGUAAGUCACCUGUGAAAUCUCCUGGCUCAACUGGGAGCUUGCAGGCGAAACUGCCGUGCUGGAGUGUGGGAGAGGUGAGUGGAAUUCCCGGUGUAGCGGUGAAAUGCGUAGAUAUCAGGAGGAACACCUGUGGCGAAAGCGGCGCACUGGACCACAACUGACGCUGAGGCGCGAAAGCUAGGGGAGCAAACAGG
rnacentral:rRNA from 1 species